rnacentral:rRNA from 1 species
AGAGUUUGAUCCUGGCUCAGGACGAACGCUGGCGGCGUGCCUAAUACAUGCAAGUCGAGCGAGCUUGCCUAGAUGAUUUUAGUGCUUGCACUAAAUGAAACUAGAUACAAGCGAGCGGCGGACGGGUGAGUAACACGUGGGUAACCUGCCCAAGAGACUGGGAUAACACCUGGAAACAGAUGCUAAUACCGGAUAACAACACUAGACGCAUGUCUAGAGUUUGAAAGAUGGUUCUGCUAUCACUCUUGGAUGGACCUGCGGUGCAUUAGCUAGUUGGUAAGGUAACGGCUUACCAAGGCAAUGAUGCAUAGCCGAGUUGAGAGACUGAUCGGCCACAUUGGGACUGAGACACGGCCCAAACUCCUACGGGAGGCAGCAGUAGGGAAUCUUCCACAAUGGACGAAAGUCUGAUGGAGCAACGCCGCGUGAGUGAAGAAGGGUUUCGGCUCGUAAAGCUCUGUUGGUAGUGAAGAAAGAUAGAGGUAGUAACUGGCCUUUAUUUGACGGUAAUUACUUAGAAAGUCACGGCUAACUACGUGCCAGCAGCCGCGGUAAUACGUAGGUGGCAAGCGUUGUCCGGAUUUAUUGGGCGUAAAGCGAGUGCAGGCGGUUCAAUAAGUCUGAUGUGAAAGCCUUCGGCUCAACCGGAGAAUUGCAUCAGAAACUGUUGAACUUGAGUGCAGAAGAGGAGAGUGGAACUCCAUGUGUAGCGGUGGAAUGCGUAGAUAUAUGGAAGAACACCGGUGGCGAAGGCGGCUCUCUGGUCUGCAACUGACGCUGGGGCUCGAAAGCAUGGGUAGCGAACAGGAUUAGAUACCCUGGUAGUCCAUGCCGUAAACGAUGAGUGCUAAGUGUUGGGAGGUUUCCGCCUCUCAGUGCUGCAGCUAACGCAUUAAGCACUCCGCCUGGGGA